rnacentral:pre_miRNA from 1 species
AGGAGGAACAACCCCAUUGGCGGGGCCAGCUCUGGAGCCCUGGAUUCAGCCCCCGCAGGAACUCCGGAGCUCUGUCUGCAAGGCCUGGAGGCUCCGGGGAGGG